CACCUGAGCCAUCACAGACAUGUGGGGGUCUUGACAGCUUGCCAAGAGCUGGAUUUUGUGAGAUGCCAGGGGGCUACAGAUCAGCUGUACAUACCACUCAGUCAAUGAUGCCACAACAUUUAGCACCAAGAAUGCAAGAAUGGAGUCAUGAACAUAAUUCAAGUGUGGAUCAACACCAACAUGAAUCAGCCUGGACAGCCAGUGACAAUGGAAGCUGGACAGAUACCCAAAGACAAAAUUGUAAGUAAUGUUAAAUUGGGUACUC